GCUAGAAUUUCCAGUAAACCAGCACCAGCCUGAAGAUCACUUUCUCAUCGAAAGGUGGAAAGAAGAAAAACUUGAGCCAGCCUGGGAAGGACCUUACCUUGUGCUGCUAACCAGCAAGAGUGCUGUUCAUACAGCAAAAAAAGGAGGGACUCAUCACACCCGAGUCAAGAAAGUGCCACCCCCUCCAGAGUCAUGGGCCAUAGUCCCAGGGGAAAACCCUACCAAACUAAAGUUUUUUCUAGUGGGCCCAACCUCCAAGACCAUCCUUAAACAUCAGUAGACUGGGAGCUGUACACGGAUGGGAGCAGCUUCGCCAACCCUGCAAAGUGACUCUGAAAAAGACGACAAGCCCUGCUCCAGUCACACCUGGAAGCUGACUAGUCCAUGCAUGGCCGAAGCAUGAGGAAACUCAUCGUGGGACUCAUUUUCCUUAAAAUUUGGACUUGUACAGUAAGGACUUCAACUGACCUUCCUCAGACUGAGGGCUGUUCCCAGUGUAUACAUCAAAUCACUGAGUUGGACAAAAGGUUGCUACAGUCCUAUUAUUUUAUGGUUAUUGUAAGUGUACUGGAACUCUAAAAAGAACUUGUUUGUAUAAUAUUAUUCUAUACAAGGUACGUAGCCCAGGAAAUGACCAACCUGAUAUGUGUUAUGACCCAUCUGAGUCUCCCAUGACCACAGUUCUCAAAAUAAGAUUAAGAACUAAGGACAGGUGGGAGCUCAUAAAUGAUAUGAGUAAAGUGUUAGCCAAAACAGAAAAAAAAAAAAAAGGUUGCCCUAACAAGUCACCUUAAAAUUUGAUGCCUGUGCUAUCAUUAAUAGUAAUAAGUUAGGAAUAAGGUGUGGUUCUCUUAGUUAGAAAAGAGGCUACAUUGCAGAAAAUAAGUACAUCUGUCAUAAAUUAGGACUGUGUGGAAAUAAAUGUAAAUACUG